rnacentral:rRNA from 1 species
AACGAACGCUGGCGGCAUGCCUAACACAUGCAAGUCGAACGAGACCUUCGGGUCUAGUGGCGCACGGGUGCGUAACACGUGGGAAUUUGCCUCGGGGUAUGGAAUAACUCAGGGAAACUUGAGCUAAUACCAUAUAAUGUCUUCGGACCAAAGAUUUAUCGCCCUGAGAUAAGCCCGCGUAGGAUUAGCUAGUUGGUGGGGUAAAGGCUCACCAAGGCGACGAUCCUUAGCUGGUCUGAGAGGAUGAUCAGCCACACUGGGACUGAGACACGGCCCAGACUCCUACGGGAGGCAGCAGUGGGAAUAUUGGACAAUAGGGCGAAGACCUGAUCCAGCAAUGCCGCGUGAGUGAUGAA